rnacentral:rRNA from 1 species
CCUACGGGGGGCAGCAGUAGGGAAUCUUCCACAAUGGACGAAAGUCUGAUGGAGCAACGCCGCGUGAGUGAAGAAGGGUUUCGGCUCGUAAAGAUCUGUUGGUAGGGAAGAAAGAUAGAGGUAGUAACUGGCCUUUAUUUGACGGUAAUUACUUAGAAAGUCACGGCUAACUACGUGCCAGCAGCCGCGGUAAUACGUAGGUGUCAAGCGUUGUCCGGAUUUAUUGGGCGUAAAGCGAGUGCAGGCGGAUUCAUAAGUCUGAUGUGGAACGCUU